ACCAAGCUCCCGUGGCCUUCCGACUGUGCAAGUUCUUCGUAAGGCUUCGGGAACCCGGGUUCGCUUGGUCUGUGAAUACUACUAACCAGGUUGGGGACACCCGAUCUAGACUGGUUCUCGAUGCCUACCGAUUGUGCAAUCACUUCGGAAGACUUCUAGAGACAAGAUACUCUUGAUAGGUGGACACUACUCAUUAGACUAGGGACACGUCGGAAGGCCUCGGGGAAAAAUAAUACAGAAUGCAAAAUGCCAAUUUUGAGUGGCUAGCCCGUGGAGUUGUAGAAGACCUAAGUAGAUUUACAGCGGUCCCGGUUUCGAAUUCUGGUUACCCCAAAGUUUCCUCAACUUUUGCAAUGAGCAGAGAAUACGAUUUUUGGAAAAAAAGACACUGCUGCUAGUGCGAUGAUGGAAUGAUGGUGUUUUGCAGAAGAGAAGGUUUUGUAAGAAGGCAGGUAGUGGAUCAUUCGAGUUCAUUUUAAUCAAUUACCUCCGUGGACUGACAAAAAUUGUGAUAACACAGAGACCUAGUUAAAUUCUUUAAAGAAAAUGUGCCUUCACAACGGAAACAUUCCCCUUGACUUCCGUUAAGCAGGUGCCCUUUGUCCACGCAAGGCCGAGGCCGUGACAGGAAUAUUGUGUGACGUAGGUGCCGCAUAUAUACCCCUCAGUUACAGGUGGGCGGAGCUUUCAACUGCAAAUUUAAUCUCCUUGUUUAAAAUGAUAAAGGUAUGAUGAAGUUUGUUUAAUAGUCGACCAAGACUCAAACGUAUUCAUUUCUUUCUUCGACUUCAGUUUGAGAGUAUAAGCUCAACAUUUCUCCAACUGCAAUUCAACGAAACUCUAAAAUUUGGAUUCUUCGAAAAGAAUUGAACAAGACAAUUAAGGAGUUUUAAGACCAUGGAUUCUGACUUGAGAAACCUACUUUUGAAGCUUACCAGGAAUGGAAAAAUCGAGAGAGCUGCAAUUAUUGACAAAGCCGGGAAAAUUGUUGCCUGCAGUGCAAAUUUUACUUUCAAAGACAGUGAUGUGAAAACCAUCAACUAUGCACUUUCCGGACAAUAUUCAUCACUCGUGAGAAUGAAAUUUGGCAACGAGAUGUUCAUGUGCUUCCGACAAUGUGAGGAUAAUGACACGCUUCUUGGGAAAAAUGGAGAGGAGAUUCUCGUGGCUCAUCGGAAAAACGGUUUCUUGGUGGUCGGGAUAGGACACUCGGAUACCCCCGGGUCCUGUCUAUACGAAGUGACUCGUUUCGCCAAGAGGUUCGACUCCAAGAGAUACAGCUGCAAAAUCGUUUCGUAAACUGGAUGCAUUCAAUGUAACACAGGCCUGAUUAUCGUUGUUUUGUUGCGAAACUUGACAUUAUAAACAUUUAUGGAAUGGACGUUCAAAUUUGAAGUGACCAUUUUUUUUUACCGUUAUAUUAACAUGGGAACGGUUUUUAUAUAUUUUUUACACUGGAAAAAUGUUCUCAAAGUAAGAAUGGCAUAUACUUUGUUGUUAUAUUUUUUUUGUUUUUAAUGUUUUAAGUGUUAUUAAAAUAACAAACUCGAA